rnacentral:rRNA from 1 species
GACGAACGCUGGCGGCGUGCUUAACACAUGCAAGUCGAGCGAAGAGCGACGGAAGCUUGCUUCUAUCAAUCUUAGUGGCGAACGGGUGAGUAACGCGUAAUCAACCUGCCCUUCAGAGGGGGACAACAGUUGGAAACGACUGCUAAUACCGCAUACGAUCUAAUCUCGGCAUCGAGGAUGGAUGAAAGGUGGCCUCUACAUGUAAGCUAUCACUGAAGGAGGGGAUUGCGUCUGAUUAGCUAGUUGGAGGGGUAACGGCCCACCAAGGCGAUGAUCAGUAGCCGGUCUGAGAGGAUGAACGGCCACAUUGGGACUGAGACACGGCCCAGACUCCUACGGGAGGCAGCAGUGGGGAAUCUUCCGCAAUAGACGAAAGUCUGACGGAGCAACGCCGCGUGAGUGAUGACGGCCUUCGGGUUGUAAAGCUCUGUUAAUCGGGACGAAAGGCCUUCUUGCGAAUAGUGAGAAGGAUUGACGGUACCGGAAUAGAAAGCCACGGCUAACUACGUG